AGCAACCGAUGAACCAACAAAAAAUGUUGAACCCACUCCGAGCACUUCAACAACAGACAUAGAAAACUUACAAUCAACAAAACCUUCAAAAGAGAGAUAUAAUGAC